rnacentral:rRNA from 1 species
AAAGCACUUUUGUCCGGAAAGAAAUGGCUCUGGUUAAUACCUGGGGUCGAUGACGGUACCGGAAGAAUAAGGACCGGCUAACUACGUGCCAGCAGCCGCGGUAAUACGUAGGGUCCAAGCGUUAAUCGGAAUUACUGGGCGUAAAGCGUGCGCAGGCGGUUGUGCAAGACCGAUGUGAAAUCCCCGAGCUUAACUUGGGAAUUGCAUUGGUGACUGCACGGCUAGAGUGUGUCAGAGGGGGGUAGAAUUCCACGUGUAGCAGUGAAAUGCGUAGAGAUGUGGAGGAAUACCGAUGGCGAAGGCAGCCCCCUGGGAUAACACUGACGCUCAUGCACGAAAGCGUGGGGAGCAAACAGGAUUAGAUACCCUGGUAGUCCACGCCCUAAACGAUGUCAACUAGUU